rnacentral:rRNA from 1 species
GAUGAACGCUGGCGGCGUGCCUAAUACAUGCAAGUCGAGCGAACAGAUAAGGAGCUUGCUCCUUUGACGUUAGCGGCGGACGGGUGAGUAACACGUGGGUAACCUACCUAUAAGACUGGAAUAACUCCGGGAAACCGGGGCUAAUGCCGGAUAACAUUUAGAACCGCAUGGUUCUAAAGUGAAAGAUGGUUUUGCUAUCACUUAUAGAUGGACCCGCUCCGUAUUAGCUAGUUGGUAAGGUAACGGCUUACCAAGGCAACGAUACGUAGCCGACCUGAGAGGGUGAUCGGCCACACUGGAACUGAGACACGGUCCAGACUCCUACGGGAGGCAGCAGUAGGGAAUCUUCCACAAUGGGCGAAAGCCUGACGGAGCAACGCCGCGUGAGUGAUGAAGGGCUUCGGAUCGUAAAACUCUGUUAUUAGGGAAGAACAAAUGUGUAAGUAACUGUGCACGUCUUGACGGUACCUAAUCAGAAAGCCACGGCUAACUACGUG